AUUAAAUGGGGAGCAGGAGCCAAAAGGGAAAUUGCAAACCCCUGAAAAGGAGAGUUAAGAGACUAAAAUCAUACCUCAUUUACAUAUUUUGCCAUCAUAUCAGCAAGUUUAGCCAAAUUAUAUUAGGGAAAAUUGAUACUGACAUUAAACAGCAGUAACUCUAUUGGCUUAAAAAGUUACUCCAGAGCUGUGCUGAGAUCAGAAUUUGGCCCAGUGUUUGAAGAGUACUUUGAUCAUAUGUAAAUUUCCUGGUAUUACUGAACUGGAAUUUGCUGAAAAGCAUGUGACUGAGCUUCCUUUAGGACUUCCAUCCCUGUAGAGCAGCUCUUUGUUCAGCAAGCAUAGUUCAGCUUCACCCCUCUAUUCCUUCUGCCUGGUGGCUGUCCUAUUGGUCCCAGGAGUAAAGAGUGACCUUACUUAUGCUUGUGUUGUGCUGACUUUUAAUUUUCUCUCUCUGACUCUUAAGCUAGUGCAGGCGCUUGGAACACACCCCGGUGCAUCUGCAUCCAAUCCUGACACUUUGGCUGGGAGAGAGGAGAAGGAGGUUGGGUUCUGCUGUCCACCAGCCAAGGACUCCCCAGGGCUGCAAGAAGCCUUCAAUCUGCUCCGGAUUCUCUCUGCAGCAAAAAAGGUUUUGGUGAACAGUUGUGGAAUGGACUGAAGAUUAAAAAAUGGUUCAUGAAGCACACCAGUCAAUACCCUUGCCUGCUUUUGAGAACAUGAGUUCUUAAUGCUGGCCUUACUGGAGAAGCUGAGCUCCUGGAAAUAUAACAAGAAUGAAGGAAAGAAAACCAGCGUUGCAUUUAAUUAUCUUGUGAUCCCAGGUUCUAAUGAGCACCCAAGCAACAUCCAUGAAGAAGCAAACAUCCCUGAGAAUGGAGAAGGGUUUUCAUGCUGGGAGCACCUGACAAGACCUGGGGCCAGCCCCAGAACAAUGACAGAAUAUGGAAUAUCUUGCUCAUUGGCUGAAUACAAACCUAUCCAUGAAUGACACAGGGACCAAAUGGAAAGCACUAUAAGAUCAUACAGUUAAAAUUUCAUCACGGUGACCACACAGGUGACAGACUGAGAGCUGCUACUUCUGAAACUUUAGAUCCUUGACUCUCCAGCAUUGUGAGUCUUCCUUCACUGUAGUCUUGAUAUAUUUUUCUAUACAUAGAAAUUGCAUAAGUGGACACUGCUUACCACUUGAAAAGAAGUGGAAGAAAUGUAGUGUUUAAUGAAAUGGAGAAAACAAAGUCCAUACUGGCAAUGUUUCUCCAUGUGCUCCUGACUUCAAGGCAGAGAUAUCACUGGGCCUGUCACUGAAGACUACAACAGGUUCACACAGAUUCAUGUGGGCAUUGGCUUUUUCUUGGGAAAGCUCUGGUUACAUAUUUGACCCAAAUCUUUUAAUAUACAUUUGUACUGUAGACUUUGUCUAAGGCAUCUGAAGCUAUCACUAUGUUGCUUCAAUAAUCUUCAGUCAGUCCGUAGCAGAUUUCUGUGAAGGAGAUUUGGAAAACAUGUACUUUUGUGUUGUACCGGUCUCUUUCUAUUAAUAUCUUGGCCCAUUUUGGCAAUAUUUCUAAAUAUGAAUAAAAUAUUAAUCUGCAGAUUAAAUACUAAGACC
rnacentral:lncRNA from 1 species